rnacentral:rRNA from 1 species
UACGAAGGGGGCGAGCGUUGUUCGGAUUUACUGGGCGUAAAGGGCGCGCAGGCGGCGAUCUUUGUCAGGCGUGAAAGCCCCGGGCUUAACCUGGGAACUGCGCUUGGGACGGGAUUGCUGGAGACCGGGAGAGGAGAGUGGAAUUCCCAGUGUAGCGGUGAAAUGCGUAGAUAGUUGGGAGGAACACCAGUGGCGAAGGCGGCUCACUGGACCGGUACUGACGCUGAGGAGCGAAAGCGUGGGGAGCAAACAGG